rnacentral:tRNA from 3 species
GCGCCGCUAGCUCAACUGGCAGAGCAGCUGACUCUUAAUCAGCGGGUUGGGGGUUCAAGUCCCUCGCGGCGCACCA